AAAGUCGUAACAAGGUUUCCGUAGGUGAACCUGCGGAAGGAUCAUUACAAAUCCAAGUCAAGUCUAUUGACAAGUUGAAAUGUGUGUGUGAGAGAGAGAGAAUAUAUUUCCACACAAAAUCCAUACAUCAGUUGAACAACAAAUAACAAAUAUUUUUACACAACUUGUAACAAUGGAUCUCUAGGCUCUU
rnacentral:misc_RNA from 1 species